UCGUGGUUAUAUUUAUUAGAUAUAAAACCGAUAUGUUAACAGCAUUUCGAAGGAAUAACAGUAACUGAUCGAAUCCCCGCCUGUCGAGGAUAAAUCAUUCAAGUUUCUGCCCUAUCAGCUUUCGAUGGUAGUGUAUUGGACUACCAUGGCGGUAACGGGUAACGGAGAAUUAGUGUUCGAUUCCGGAGAGGGAGCCUGAGAAACGGCUACCACAUCUAAGGAAGGCAGCAGGAGCGUAAAUUACCCAAUGUCGAUUCGAUGAGCGUUGACAAUACAUAACAAAGAGGGGAUUUAUUAUCUUACUCUAUUGCAAUGAGGCAUGUUUAAUAAACUGUUCGAGCAACCAGUGAAGGGCAAGUCUGGUGCCAGCAGCCGCGGUAAUUCCAGCUUCACGAGUGUAUGUUUAAGUUGUUGCAGUUAAAAAGCUCGUAGUUGAACUUCUGUGCGGCGUGCAGGCGCGCAUAACGCCUGCAGGCUACACAUUCGCCUGAAAAAUCAUUCGGAUCUUCACUGAUUCAAUGCUGGAUCAGGCAUUUUACUUUGAAAAAAUUAGAGUGUUCAAAGCAGGCUGAGGCCUGGAUACAUUAGCAUGGAAUAAUGGAAUAGGACGCUGUCCAUUUUGUUGGUUAUUGGUUAGCGUAAUGAUUAAUAGGGACAGUUGGGGGCAUUUGUAUUUAAUUGUCAGAGGUGAAAUUCUUGGAUUUAUUAAAGACAAACUUAUGCGAAAGCAUUUGCCAAGGAUGUUUUCAUUAAUCAAGAACGAAAGUUAGAGGAUCAAAGACGAUCAGAUACCGUCCUAGUUUUAACUAUAAACUAUGCCGACCCGGUCUUCGUCAAGUCUUUUUAACUUGAUGAGUGCCGUAUGAGAAAUCAAAGUCUUUGGGUUCCGGGGGGAGUAUGGUCGCAAGGCUGAAACUUAAAGGAAUAGACGGAACAUCACACCAGUUGUGGAUCGUGCGGCUUAAUUUGACCCAACACGGGGAAACUUACCAGCGCAAAACAAGGGUGGGAUUGACAGAUUGAGAGCUCUUUCUUGAUUCUUUGGAUAGUGGUGCAUGGCCGUUCUUAGUUGGUGGAGUGAUUUGUCUGCUCAAUUGCGUUAACGAACGAGACCUCAACCUACUUACUAGACACGCGAUUAUACCAUCGCGCGAUCUUCUUAGAGGGACUGUGCGGAGAGAAACGCAAGGAAGU
rnacentral:rRNA from 1 species